rnacentral:rRNA from 1 species
CGGCGGACGGGUGAGUAACACGUGGGUAACCUACCUAUAAGACUGGGACAACUUCGGGAAACCGGAGCUAAUACCGGAUAAGAUAUCGAACCGCAUGGUUCGAUAGUGAAAGAUGGUUUUGCUAUCACUUAUAGAUGGACCCGCGCCGUAUUGGCUAGUUGGUGAGGUAACGGCUCACCAAGGCAACGAUACGUAGCCGACCUGAGAGGGUGAUCGGCCACACUGGAACUGAGACACGGUCCAGACUCCUACGGGAGGCAGCAGGC